AGAACGAACGCUGGCGGCAGGCUUAACACAUGCAAGUCGAACGCUCCGCAAGGGGAGUGGCAGACGGGUGAGUAACGCGUGGGAACAUACCCCUCGGUUCGGAAUAACUCAGGGAAACUUGAGCUAAUACCGGAUACGGUCGAGAGGCGAAAGAUUUAUCGCCGAGGGAUUGGCCCGCGUCCGAUUAGCUAGUUGGUGAGGUAAUGGCUCACCAAGGCGACGAUCGGUAGCUGGUCUGAGAGGAUGAUCAGCCACAUUGGGACUGAGACACGGCCCAAACUCCUACGGGAGGCAGCAGUGGGGAAUAUUGGACAAUGGGCGAAAGCCUGAUCCAGCCAUGCCGCGUGAGUGAUGACGGCCUUAGGGUUGUAAAGCUCUUUCGUCAGGGACGAUAAUGACGGUACCUGAAGAAGAACGCCCGGCUAACUUCGUGCCAGCAGCCGC
rnacentral:rRNA from 1 species